AUAGCCUAGGUGUAAGGCCAUAGAAUGCCAUGCCCUGGAUAAACUUUACCAAUGGAUCUUGAGACAACAAGAGGAAGGAUCGAGAGUGAUGACGACUGAUAUACUAGCUUACCUCUAGAAUGAGCUUGACUAUGGUGGAGAGGAACCCCCAAUGUCCCCCAGAUUGCAUUCCCAAAAUCAACAUUCCUUGCCCACAACGCAUGUCAUAAAUGGCAUCCAAGUUUCUUCUGGUUCUUUUGGGCCAGCAACUGUUGGGCAGGGUCCAUGUUCGGGGCAGUCUGAUAGUCAAGGAAACAAUUCAGUUUUCUCGAAUGCUCUUUCAAGUCCUGUUCGCCGUAGUCUUCAGCAUUAUCAUUUG